AUUUUUAUAUUAUUAAUUCUAAAACAAACAACAUUCAUACUGAUAGGGUUCAGAAUGACUCUCCCCAGAAUGUGCCAUCUUGGUAAAUAGACUAUUUUGAGCUGAAGACAAUCAAGGCCCAAAAGACUCAGAAAGAGCUUUUACUUCCCCCUUAACUCCCUAAAAGAAUAUAGAUAGAAGGCCUGGUCCGGGAAGAGUUCACCAGAGUUAAUGACAAAGAAUAUGGGCUCGGUGUGGUAAGAUGGCAGGAAGCCCUCACAGAACCUGUUUGUUCAAAGUCGUCUCUGUAUCCCAUUGUCUCUGAUAAACAUGUUUAUCAAACAUUUGCUCUUCUAUCUUCCUGUAAAAUAUUUUCUUCCUUAGGGCAGUCCCAGACCCCUAACCUCUUCUUAGCUCAGGAUGGCAUAUAAGCCUCAAUUGCCUGACUGCCUGUGGUUCUCAUAUUCUUAUGGGGCCCCAACUCAUAUGCAAUUAAACUUUAUUUUCUUCUGUUAAUCUCUCAUGUGAAUUUAUUUAUUAGACCAGGCAGAGGAGGGGAUCCCUGGGUGGCGCAGCGGUUUGGCACCUGCCUUUGGCCCAGGGCGCGAUCCUGGAGACCUGGGAUCGAGUCCCACAUUGGGCUCCCGGUGCAUGGAGCCUGCUUCUCCCUCUGCCUGUGUCUCUGCCUCUUUCUCUCUCUCUCUCUCUGUGACUAUCAUAAAUAAAUUAAAAAAAAAUAAAAAAAAAAAGACCAGGCAGAGGAAUCUGGAAGGGUAGACAAAAAUUUUUCCUUCUCUAAAAUAGCAAGGAUGAUUUUAUUGAAUUACACAUCAGGGAGAGUUACUCAGGCUGAUACCAGUGUGUUUCCUUUCAGAUCUAUACCCACUGCAAGAAUGCUUUUCAGAUGUGUUAUUGUUCUCAACCAUCAACUUAAAGGGCUGGCAGCAGGCCUACCGCCCACCUGCUGACCUCUCCCCUGGCCUUGUCUGGGGCUCCACCCACCUGCCGGGGCAGAAAGGCCUUGCUCUGUCCUGGUCAGCAUAAGCGGCAUCUACUUCAACGGGGACCCAG
rnacentral:lncRNA from 12 species